rnacentral:rRNA from 1 species
AUUGAACGCUGGCGGCAUGCCUUACACAUGCAAGUCGAACGGUAGCGGGCCUUCGGGUGCUGACGAGUGGCGAACGGGUGAGUAAUGUAUCGGAACGUACCUUUCAGUGGGGGAUAACGUAGCGAAAGUUACGCUAAUACCGCAUAUUCUGUGCGCAGGAAAGCAGGGGAUCGCAAGACCUUGCGCUGAUUGAGCGGCCGAUAUCAGAUUAGCUAGUUGGUGAGGUAAAGGCUCACCAAGGCGACGAUCUGUAGCGGGUCUGAGAGGAUGAUCCGCCACACUGGAACUGAGACACGGUCCAGACUCCUACGGGAGGCAGCAGUGGGGAAUUUUGGACAAUGGGGGCAACCCUGAUCCAGCCAUGCCGCGUGAGUGAAGAAGGCCUUCGGGUUGUAAAGCUCUUUCGGCCGGGAAGAAAUCGUAUCAGCUAAUACCUGGUGCGGAUGACGGUACCGGCAUAAGAAGCACCGGCUAACUACGUGCCAGCCGCCGCGGUAAUAC